GGUCGAGUAGUGUAGUGGUUUAUCACGUUCGCCUCACAUGCAUUUACACAGUGCGCGCGAAAGGGCCCGGGUUCGACCCCCGGUUCGACCU